AUAAAACAAACACCCCCAAAAGCUAUACUCUGGUCGACCAGAGGAACCCCAGGGGCGACACCCACCAUUCCAAACCCUAGUUCACAAGAAAUCCUACAAAUUGAAGGCUUUAAUCAGUUAGAAAUCGAAAUCCAAGCAUAGAAUCGUGAUCACCUUGUCAAGGGGAUCCUAAGGCAAGGAAUCCGGGACGUCAAGCGGACACGCCGGAGGAGACAUACGCGGAAAGGGAGUGCUUUAAAGGUGACUUGGAACUAAUCGGAAGAUGGUCGAGCUAGCUUUGGAUGAACCGAACACUAUCUACAAGCUUCCGCUUUAGUUUAACUUCAAUGGUUUUUGUUUUAGACAAAUGUAGACAAUUAACAAUUCAGUUUUCGAAUGUUUUAAUCUAGUACUAGUUUCGCUAAACGUUUGUUACGUAUGAAAUCCAUGUAAGGAAUUUAUGUUUUUCUAAGUAUGUUUUCACUUAAAA